GAUUUUUCUCCUCCAACUCGCUCUCUCUCUCAAUGUCAGUUUCUUUCCAUGAAUACAACCAUGAUUCUCCACUGAUUAAUCUCUGUUGUCUCGCAAAAUUUUCAACAGAAAUAACUUCAGGUUCAAUCCUAUCGCCGGGGCGAAGAGUGAUGUUGUAGCUUUUGGUGGUUUGAGGCCGCGGAACCGCGAAUAGUACCCCAUUUAGCAGCGUUUUUGGGCAGCGUUUUUGAAUGAAAUUGGAGUUGGUUGAAGGUGUUUCAGUGAAUUGUAACGAAGCUGCCAUUGUUGAGACUCUGAAGCAGAAAUCUUUCGGAGUGAGGAUUUUGGAUGGAAGUCAAAUCGGUCCAGUUAUUUAGAGAAAUUUUAUCUCGGCUCUCUCAUGAGAUGAUAUUGGGGUUGUUCUUGAACAAAGAUGACGGAGUUUGGGGCUGAGCAACUUGAAGAUUCUGUUAAUAUAUUUUUAAUGUAUUUCUAUGUAUCUUAUUGUAUUUUCAUGUAUUUUAUUGCAUUCAUUGUCCUUUUUUUUCAUUGUAUUUCAAUUUAUAUUGUUGUAUUAUAUGUAUUUUAUGGUAUUCAUUGUCUC
rnacentral:lncRNA from 1 species